UACGGGGGGGGCAAGCGUUGUUCGGAAUUACUGGGCGUAAAGGGCUCGUAGGUGGCCAAUUAAGUCAGGCGUGAAAUCCCCAGGCUCAACUUGGGAACUGCGUCUGAUACUGGUUGGCUUGAAUUCGGGAGAGGGAUGCAGAAUUCCAGGUGUAGCGGUGAAAUGCGUAGAUAUCUGGAGGAAUACCGGUGGCGAAGGCGGCAUCCUGGACCGGCAUUGACGCUGAGGAGCGAAAGCCAGGGGAGCAAACGGG
rnacentral:rRNA from 1 species